AGAGAGAGAGAGAACUAAAUCAACCUGAAAUGGGACACUUGCUUUCAUUUUAGAACUUGAGUGUUUUUUUAUGUUUUUGUGUUUCACAUCCAACUCAACAGGUGGUCAGCCUAAAAAUGGAAACUGCUACAGAUGCUGAGAAAUUAUCUGAUGGAAUGAGUGAAAAUAUGAGGAAAUGUUUGAAGGGCAAAAAGCAAACUGUUUGCAAGUUUGUGAAGAAAGGAUUUGAGUCCAGAGGACAUGUCAUUUCCCUCAGCGGCUCUUGGUACAGCGCCGCCACAGGAGAGGGACGAAAGAGGCUCUCCAAAGGGAUUGGUUCGUCUGACACAGUGCAGUGUGAAAGGAAACUGUAGCAGCUGAAUAUGUAACAAACGCUACAAUUGGUAGCAUUGGUAGUUGGUUCCUAAUCGAAUCGAGUCUACUGGACUAUCACCUGUGGAAACACCUUAAAUCUUGAUUAGGUUGCUAUAGAGGUUGGAGAUAAUGACUUGUCCAACAAGAGCCAACACAAAAGCUGACUUGUUUUAACUCAAAUGUCACAUGUGAACUGUAUGGUAUAUAUUUUUAAAGAUG